AGCAGCCAGUGCCAGGGCAGCGCUGGUGCAAGGUGCAUUUCAGCUACACCCCGGACAAGCCAGACGAGCUGCAGCUGAAGGUCGGCGAACUGGUGCAGGUCCUGCAGGAGAUCGAGGAUGGCUGGUGGCUGGGCAGCAAGAACGGGCAGGUUGGUGCUUUCCCCUCCAACUUCGUCCAGGAGCUGCCCCCAGGGCUGGCAGCCCCAGAGCUCCUGAAGAAUGGGG